rnacentral:lncRNA from 1 species
CUGUGAUCAGGAAAGACAGACAGAAGGAAGGGGGUGGAGAAUAGAGUGUAUAGAGAGAAAGGGUCAGGGUGGAGAGGAGAUGUCUGGGUUUUCUUUCUAUCACUGUGAUAGACACCGCAUCGGAAAGCAACUUGGCAGGAAAGGCUUUUGCUUGGUUCACCCGUCCCUAACACAAUGCAGCACGGAGUUGGGGUAGGAACCCAGGAGCAGAGGCAGGAGCCAUGUGUUCACUGUGUUCGCUGGCUUGCUCCCCAUUACUUGCUCAGUUCUCUCUCUUAUACAACCCAGGAUCACUUGCCCAGGGGUGGCACCACCUGCAGUGAACUUGGCCCUCUCCUGUCAAUCAUUAAUCAGGAAAACGACCCAGAGAUUUGCCUAUAGGCUAAUCUGAUGGAGGCAUUUUUCUCACUUGAGGUUCCCUCUUCCCAGAUGACCCUGGUGUCAAUCAAGUUGAUGAAAACCUAGCCAGCACAGGGGAGCAAAGAGGUGGGGGACAGGGAGGAGGAGGGAAGAGAGCAAAGAGGAAGUGAGGAGGAAGGCUCCAGUGUGUGGCCCUAGACCCUAUCUCAAACCAAAGGUGUCUUCCUUGGAGAGCUGUUCACCUGAGAUCAGCUGAGGUGAGGCUUUCUGACAUGGGACACCUCCCUCAGGCACUGGCAGCUCUGCUGAGCACUGCAGGCUACUCUGCUUCCCCAAAGAGCUUCCUUCCUCCCCAGAGGCGCUCUGGCGCAACUUAGAACACACCCUUCCCUUUCUAUCACCUGAGAGUAGGCCAGGGUCAGGUCUGACCUCCUUUAAGUCAUGAUUCUUCAACUCCUAUCCCCCCUCUUUCUUUCUGUUUUAUACAUUUCUGAGUCUUUCACGAAGUAAGAGACUGAAUAAAAGCAUCUAAUGCAUGCUAGAUCUCAAGAGUCAAAGAAGGAAGAAUUAUAUGGGAAUUAUCAAGUUCUCUUGGCCUUGGCAGACCAUCAGACUGAAGAGGCUUUCAGAGAGCAUAAAGUUUAGGGACCAUGGAUAAAUUCCAAGAUAUGAACCAAGUGGUCAGAUCUCUGGCUGCUGCCGCUAGCUGAAGCCACAGGUCAGGUGUGCCUAGCUCCUGGUGGAUACCAUUAGGACAUGAUUCUUCAGCUCCAGAUGGGCAUUUUUUUUUCCUGUCUUGGCUUGUUUUCUGUUGCUUCAGCCCAGUGGCUCUCAACCUUCCUAAUGCUGCAACCCUUUAAUAUGGUACUUCAUAUUGUGGUGACCCACAACCAUAAAAUUAUUUUCAUUGCUAUUUCAUAACUGUAAUUUUGCUACUGUUAGGAACCGUAAUGUAAAUAUCUGUGUUUUCCAGUGGUCUUAAGCAAUCCUUAUGAAAGGGUCAUUCAAUCCCCAAAGGGAUUGCAACCACAGGUUGAGAGCAGGUGCUUUAUCAUACUAGCCGAACCUGGAUAGUUUAUAAAGAAAAGAUGUUCGUUUUCUGGAAGUCCUCUGGCUUGGCUUGACUUCUGAUAAAGGCUUUAGGUGGGAGGAAGGGCAAUUAGCCCCAUGGCAGAGAGAUCAUAGAGUGAAGGGAAGAUAAGGAAAGCCUCAGGAAGCAGAACACACUAUGUAACCCACACCCCUACGGCGCCUAACCUACUCUGUGGGAGCUACAUUUAUCUGUUCAAGAGGGCAGAGGCCCUGUGACACCAACCAUCUCUUAAAGGCCUUGCUAUAACUCGGCACUGUUACAGUGACAUUUAAUCUCAGCAUGGGCUUUUGCAGAGACAAACCAUAUGCAAGCCACAGUACUUAGGCUUACUUCAAUAAGGACAAAACCAUUAUAGAGUUUAGGCCAACAGGAGCUAGUAAUGUUGAAUGUCCACUGGGAGCGGGAGGUGGGGGGUGGGGGUGGGAGUGGGGGAAUACAGUCAGUCUAUUUGAAGGAUGCUAAGCCAAUAAGUAGAAUCAGUCAGGCAACCCUUUCAUAGAGAUUGCCCUGACGCCAGCCUCACAACCUUUUGAGCCCAUGUUUCUGUGCUUCUGACUCAUUUGAGCUUUGCACUUCUAGGCUUUAAGGGUGGUUUUAGGUUUUAAUCCAUUACCAAGACUGUCAACUCCUGUCAAUGGCUCUGUCCAGCACCUCCAGAGGCUUGGGAUAAUCAUAUUAGAUUACAUUGGCUAUCAUAUAACAGUUUGCAAACACUUGUGCCAUACAGCAGCACCCUAAAGCCUCAGGCAGUUCUCAGAUGGCCAACCAUCUCCAAUUUGUGGGCAAGGAAACAGGAGGCCUAGAGAUGUGAACAGAGUAGCCCUGGUGGCAGAUAUGGAUUUCCUGACAUAAAGUAUAUGCUUUUCUGCAAACCUGUUGCCUGCCUAUGACAUAAAAAUAACAAUAGUUACCUAAUAUAAAUCACUGAAACACUAUCUGCAUUAAUUAAUUCACAUUAUCUCAUUUAGUUCUCUCGACAGGCAUAGGAAUAGCUGCUCCCCCCCCCCCCCGAAUUAUAGAUAAGAAAACUGAAGCAGAAAGAGACAUAGUAAAUAGUUCAUCAUCACAUGGAGAAGGAGAAAGCAAAGAACUGAGCUUAGCAAGUCUUAUCCCAGAACUGGUGUUCUUAGCUUCUGCAUUCUCCCAAAAGGCUAGAGGUGGGGCAUCCAAUCUAAAUUGGCCCCCUGCUUUAAAUUGUUCAUUAAUUUUUUUAUUGGUGCUGUAAAGGGGAGAGUGGGGAAAAUGGAGGGAGACGCUUUAACUAUGGAGUGGGAGAAAGGGCAUACAGAGACAGAGGAAGGAAAGAUGGAUAAACAACACUAAUGAUGUUUGAAAAGCCCUUUUAUGUUUCUCUCUCUCUCUCUCUCUCUCUCUCUCUCUCUCACACACACACACACACACACACACACACACACACACACACACAUACACACACAAGGGGGGAUUGUUUAAUUAAAGUUAUGCCACUUGGUGUGAUAAUGCUUCCUCAAAGAGUCACAGACUAACAAAACACCCAGUGCUUGGCAUGAGAAAUCUCCUUACGUGUAUAUAUAUGUCUUAGUCACUGCUCUAUUACUGGAAAGAGAUACCAUGAUAAUGGCAACUCUUAGAAAAGAAAGCAUUUAAUUGGGAGCUUGCUUACAGUUUCAGUGGAUUAGUCCAUUAUCAUUUUAGCAGGGAACAUGGUGGCAGGCAGGCAGGCAGGCAAGCAUGGUGCUGGAGAAGUAACUGCUAUAUUCUGACCUGAAAGCAGAGAAGGAGGGGGAGAAGGAGAGAGAGAGAGAGGGAGAGAGAGAGAGAGAGAGAGAGAGAGAGAGAGAGAGAGAGAGAGAGAGAGAGAGAGAGAACAUAAUCUCCUUCCUGGGUGUGAGCUUUUGAAAUCCCAAAACCCACUCCCUCUAAGUGACACACUUCCUCCAACAAGGCCGAAUCUAAUCCAAGAAUACUACACUUCCUAAUCCUUCUAAUCUUUUUACACAGUUCCAUUCCCUGGUGACUGUGCAUUCAAAUCUGUGAGUCUAUGGAGGACAUCCUUAAUCAAACCACCAUAACAUACAUGCCACACAGACACAGACACACAGACACAGACACACAGACACAGACACACAGACACAGACACACACACACACACACACACACACACACACAGACUGUAUAAGUACAAAGUAUUGGCUGGUUUCAUGUCAACUUGACAAAAGCUAGAAUUAUCAGAGAGGAGAAUCUUCAGUUAAGGAAAUGUCUCCAUGAGAUCCAGCUGUAAGGCAUUUUCUCCAUUAGUUAUUAGUGGGGUAGGGGCAAGACCAUUAUGGGUGACACUCUUGGCUGACACUCUUGGGUUCUAUAAGUAAGCAGGACCCCACCUCGGCUUCUACAUUAGCUUCUGUCUCCAGGAUCCUGCUGUGUUUAAGCUCCUGUCCUGACUUCUGUUUGUGGUGAACCUUGAUGUGGAAGGGUAAGCUUGUGCCCUUCCCCCAGCCUUAAGUAGGCUAAACAGAUCUUGAAUGCUUGCCACAAAUGGUUUUACUACCUAGGUGGAGUCAGCUGGCCUCACCACAUUUGCAAUUUCCUGCAGGAGUUUAGAGGAGUAGACAGCCUACUGAGCUUGCUUUGUGACAUAAUCCAGUUGAAACAAAGGAUGGGGUCUGUGGGCUUUCCCUAUAUAAACACAGUGCUGAAUGUUAAACUUUGAGCCUUGAUCAGAACCUUUGCCUUGGCUUCAUCCUUCUCUCACACCCCAUCUUUUUUCAGUUCCAGUCCCCCUUUCAGGUAACCCAGUUCUCCAUGGGCUACAUAAACUGAAUAAACCCUUCCCUCCCAAACUUGUUUUUUGGUCAUGGUGUUUUGUCACAGCAAUAAAAACUCUAACUCUGACAUACAACCCACUGAGUCCAUUGACUGCUGUUCAUAUUCAUAAGUUACUUUGGGCUGACCACUUUGUUGAAUAACCAAUUAGUGGGCUUAUCCCUGGGGAAGACCCAUUCUCCCUCUCUGAACAGCCAUUAAGUGCCUGUAUCUCUUAAUCUAUGGGUGGGCUCUUUUGAGGUUUUCCCUUUUCCAUAUUGAGAUGUCAACUGGUAUUGUCACUGCUCAAGUAUUGUCCAAACUACUUUAGUUUUGAGAGUUCAUGAGUGCAACAUCCUUGUCAUAUACAGAUGACACAAUCUAAAACAGAUGUUCUGGUCUUCUGCCUCUUAAAGUCUCCCCACCCCUUUUUCUGUGACAUUCCCUGAACCUGAGGUGCAGGAGCUGUGUUGUAACUGGUUCAGUUAGGGCUGGGUACCCCAUGGUCAGUGGUUCUAUGCAUCAUGAUCACUUGUGGAUCUGCAAUAGACUCUGCAUUAUUAAAAGAGCAUUUUCUCUGAUGAGGGGCAAGAGCUGCUCUUAUCUGCAGGCAUAAGGAUAAAUAUAAAGGAUACAAUUAGGGAUUAUCCUGGUGGGAAAGUGGCUGUAGUAGGUCCCCCCUAUAGAGUCAAUAGACUUACCAGGCACAUAUAAUUGGCUAGGUUUACAGUACCAGCCAUGUUUUCUUGCUUAUUGACCAGACCUUAAGUCCAGUUAGACUGCUGUUGGUUACUGUCAAGAUAUGAGUGCCACUAUAAUACUUUAGGGAUAUCAUCAUGAUGAUUAUUGUGGUUCGUAGAUAUCACAGCUAGGCAAGGCUAUUGAUCCUCUCCUUCCUUUGGUACCUUUCAUAACAUUUUCUGUUACUAUGAAAGCUAGUCCCCCCCCCCCCCCCCCAGAAGCCCUCUGGUUCAGCUCCAUCAGGAGUCCCAUCAGUCAGUCCCAUGUCUGAAUGCAUGGCAUCUUCAGGAAUAGAGACA